AGUGAACGUUGGCGGCGUGGAUUAGGCAUGCAAGUCGAGCGAGAACCGUAGCAAUACGGGGACAGCGGCGAAAGGGACAGUAAUGCGUAGGUACCUACCUCCGGGUUCGGGAUAGCUGCGGGAAACUGCAGGUAAUACCGAAUAACGUCUCCGGACCAAAGGUGUGAUUCCACCUGGAGAGGGGCCUGCAUCCUAUUAGCUGGUUGGCGGGGUAACGGCCCACCAAGGCGACGAUGGGUAGCGGGUGUGAGGGCACGACCCGCGUCAUUGGGACUGAGACACUGCCCAGACACCUACGGGUGGCUGCAGUCGUGAAUCUUCGGCAAUGGGCGCAAGCCUGACCGAGCGACGCCGCGUGCGGGAUGAAGGCCUUCGGGUUGUAAACCGCUGUCGUAGAGGAGGAAAUGCAGGGGGGUUCUCCCCUCUGUUUGACCUAUUCUAGGAGGAAGUACGGGCUAAGUUCGUGCCAGCAGCCGCAGUAA
rnacentral:rRNA from 1 species